AGCCACAUCACGUUGAAACGCAGCUUCCCGUACGAUCACCGACGUUAAGCAACGUCGAACCUGGUCAGUAUCUAGAUGGGUGACCGCUAGGGAAUACCAGGUGUUGUA